ensembl:lncRNA
CCAGAACCACCUGCAGGACACGCCGGAACCACUGGCUCGAAUCUCCGGAACCACUGCCGGACAUGCAAAAUCACCUGCCGGCUACGCCAGAACCACUUGGCGAACACUCCGGAAUCACCUGCCGGGCAUGCCGGAACCACCUCUCAGACAUGCCAUAACCACAUGCCAAUGACACCGGAAACACCUGCCGAGCAGGCUGGAACCACCUGCUCGACUCGCCACAGCCACCUGACGGACACGCCAAAAUCACCUGCCAGCUACACCAGAACCAAUCGGCAGGCAUUCCGCAACCACCUCCAGGACAGACCGGAACCACCUUCCGGACAGACCGGAACCACUGGAAACACUCGCAGGAACAACCUGCUUGACUCACCGGUCCCACCUGCCGGACACACCAAAAUCACCUGCUCGCUACACCAGAACCACUUGGCGGACAAGCUGGAAUCACAUGAAGGGCAUGCCGACACAAUCUCUCAGACGUGCGAGAACCUCGUGCCGGACACCCCAGAACCACCUGCCGGACAGACCGGAACCACCUGCCGGACACACCGGAACCACUGGCUCAACUCUCCGGAACCAACGCUGGACAUGCAAAAUCACCUGCCGGCUACGCCAGAACCACUUGGUGAACACUCCGGAAUCACCUGUCGGGCAUGCCGGAACAACCUCUCAGACAUGCCAGAAGCACAUGCCAAUGACACUGUAAGCACCUGCCAAGCACACCGGAACCACCUGCUUGACUCGUAAGAACCACCUGCCGAGCACGCCAAAAUCACCUGCCGGGUACGCCAGAACCAAUUGGCGGACACUCCGGAAUCACCUGUCGGGCAUGCCGGAACCAACUCUCAGAAUUGCCGGAACCAUGUUCCGGACACGCCGGUACCACCUGCCGAGUAUGCCGGAACCACCUGAUCCACUCCCAAGAACCACAUGCUGGACAUGCCGGAACCACCUGCCUGACAGGCCAAAAUCAUAUGACACUCCAGAAUCACCUGCAGGGCAGGCCAGCAGAACCUCUCAGAAGUGCCAGAAGCACGUGCCGGACAGCCCGGAACCAUCUGCUGGACAGACCGGAAAGACAGGAAACACUUGCUGGAACCACCUGCUUGACUCACUGGUCCCACCUGCCGAACAUGCAAAAUCACCUGCCGGCUACGCCAGAACCACUUGGCGAACAGUCUGGAAUCACCUGCCGGACAUGCUGGAACCACGUGCCAAUGACACCGGAAGCACCUGCCGAGCACACCGGAACCACCUGCUCGAAUUGCCAGAACCACCUUUUGGACACGCCAAAAUAACCAGCAGGCUAUGCCACAACGACUUGUUGGACAUUCCGGAAUCACCUGACGGUCAUGCUGGAACCACCUCUCAGAGGUACCACAAACACAUGCCAGAGACGGCGGAAGCACGUGCCGAGAAUGCCAGAAGUUCCAGCUCCACUCCACAGAACCGCCUGCCGGACACGCCAAAAUCUCGUGCCGGCUACGCCAGAACCACUUGGCGGACACUCCAGAAUCACCUGCCGGCAUGCCAGCACAACCUCUCAGAAGUGCCAGAAGCACGUGCCGGACAGGCCGUAACCAUCUCCCGGAGAGACCGGAACAACAGGAAACACUCGCCGGAACCACCUGCUUGACUCACCGGUCCCACCUGCCGGACAUGCCAAAAUCACCUGCCCGAUACACCAGAACCACUUGGUGGACAAGCUUGAAUCACGUGAAGGGCAUGCUGACACAACCUCUCAGACGUGCCACAACCUCGUGCCGGACACCCCAGAACCACCUGCCGGAAAGACGGGAACCACCUGCCGGACACCCCGGAACCACCGGCUCAAGUCGCCGGAACCACCGCGGGACAUGCAAAAUCACCUGCCGGCUACGCCAGAACCAUUUGCCGAACACUCCGGAAUCACCUGCCGGGCAUGACGGAACCACCUCUCAGACAUGCCAGAACCACAUGCCAAUGACACCGGAAGCACCUGCCGAGCACGCCAGAACCACCUGCUCGACAUGCCACAGCCACCUGCCGGACACGCCAAAAUCACCUGCCGGCUACACCUGAACCACUUGGCGGACACUUCAGAAUCACCUGCCGGGCAUGCCAGCACAACCUCUCAGAAGUGCCAGAAGCACAUGCCGGACAGGCCGGAACCAUCUCCCAGACAGACCGGAACCACGGGAAACACUCGCCGGAACCACCUGCUUGACUCACCGGUCCCACCUGCCGGACACGCCAAAAUCACCUGCCCGCUACACCAGAACCACUUGGCGGACAAGCCGGAAUCACGUGAAGGACAUGCACACACAACCUCUCAGACGUGCCAGAACCUCGUGCCGGACACCCCAGAACCACCUGCCGGACACACUGGAACCACCUGCUGGACACACCGGAACCACCGGCUCGACUCGCUGGAACCACCUACCUGACACGCCAAAAUCACCUGCCGGGUAUGCCAGAACCACUUGGUGGACACUCUGGAAUCAUCUGCCGGACAUCCCAGAACCAGCUCUCAGACAGACCAGAAUCACGUGCCGGACAUGCCGGAAGCACCUGCUGCGCAUGCCUGAGCCACCUGCUCGCCUCGCAAGAAACGCCUGCUGGACACGCCAAAAUCACCUGCCAGGUACGCCUCAACCACUCAGCGGACACUCCGGAAUCACCUGUCGGGCAUGCCGGAACCACCUCUCAGAGGUGCCAGAACCACAUCCCGGACACUCCGGAAUCACCUGUCGGGCAUGCCGGAACCACCUCUCAGACUUGCCAGAACCAUGUUCCGGACACGCCGGGACCACCUGCCGAGUAUGCCAGAACCACCUGCUCCACUCCACAGAACCGCCUGCGGGACAUGCCAAAAUCACCUGUCGGCUAUGCCAGAACCACACGGCAGACACUCCGGAAACACCUCCACGACAGACCAGAACCACCUGCCGGAUACGCCGGAACCACCGGCUCGAUUCGCAGGAACCCCCGCAGGACAAGCAAAAUCAGCUGCCGGCUAUGCCAGAACCACUCUGUGAACAAUCCCGAAUCACCUUCCGGGCAUGCCGGAACCACCUCUCAGACAUGCCAGAACCACAUGCCAAUGACACUGGAAGAACCUGCCGAGCACGCCAGAACCACCUGCCCGACUCGCCAGAACCACCUGACAGACACGCCAAAAUCACCUGCCGGCUACGCCACAACCAGUUGGUGAACACUUCGGAAUCACCUGCCGGGCUGGCUGGAACCACCUGCUGGUCACGCCCACAUCACCUGUCAGCUACGCCAGAACCACUUGGCGUACACUCCGGAAACACCUGUCGGGCCGGCCGGAACCACCUCUCAGAUGUGCCAGAACCAUGUGCCUGAGAUGCCGGAAGCACACCCCAACAGACCGAAACCACCUGCCAGAGCCGCCUGAACCACCUGCCGAGCACGCCGGAUCCACCUGCUCGACUCGUCGGAACCACCUACCUGACACGCCACAAACAACUGCUGGCUAUGCCAGUACCACUUGGCGAACCCUCCGGAAUCACCUGCCGGGCAUGCCGGAACCGCCUCUCAGACAUGCCAGAACCACAUGCCAAUGACACCGGAAGGACCUGCCGAGCACGCCGGAACCACCUCUCAGACAUGCCAGAACCACAUGCCAAUGACACUGUAAGCACCUGCCGAGCACACCGGAACCACCUGCUUGACUCGUCAGAACCACCUGCCGGGCACGCCAAAAUCACCUGCCGGGUAUGCCAGAACCACUUGGCGGACACUCCGGAAUCACCUGUCGGCAUGCCGGAACCACCUCUCAGACUUGCCGGAACCUUGUUCUGGACAUGCUGGUAACACAUGCCCGGUAUGCCGGAACCACCUGAUCCACUCCCCAGGAACACCUGCUGGACACGCCAAAAUCACCUGCCGGCUACGCCACAACCACUCGGCAGACAAUCUGCAACCACCUCCAGGACAGACCGGAACCACCUGCUGGACACGCCGGGACCACCUGCUGAGCAUGCCGGAACAACCUGCUUGACUCGCUGGAGCCACCUGCCGGACAUGCCAAAUCAGCUGCCGGCUAUGCCAGAACCACUUGCCGGACACUCCAAAAUCACCUGCCUGGCGUGCCGGAACCACCUGAUCCACUCCCCAGAACCACCUGCUGGACCCGCCUGAACCACCUGCCGGCUACACGGGAACCACUUGGCGGACACUCCGGAAUCACCUGCCGUGCAUGCCGGAACCACCCCUCAGACGUGCCUGAAAAACGUGCCGGACACGCCGGAACCACCUCCCGGACUAACCGGAACCACCUUUCGGACAUGCCUGAACCACCUUACGAGCACGCUGGAACCACCUGCUCGACUUGGUGGAACCAUCUGCUGGAGACACCAAAAUCACCUGCCGGCUACGCCAGAACCACUUGCCGACACUCCGGAAUAACCUGCCAUUCAUCCCGGAACCGCCCCUCAGAUGUGCCAGAACCAGGUGCUGGACGCCCCAGGCCUCUUCCGUGAAAGACUGGAACCACCUGCUGAGCAUUCUGGAAACACCUGCUCGACUCCCGGGAACCGCCUCUGGGGAAACUGUCAUAGAAAUGCAGGUAAAACGGCCUUUCUUGCCAGCCCUUAACUCGCCACUUUAGAACUUCUGCUUCUGCCACAAUUGCACCUUGCCAACCCAGCUCAGACGAAAUGCCUACAUCUUCCCCUGAAGCAACUGGCCUGAGUCCCAAAUGAUUGAGCGUCCACGUGCUUAGGAGGCGAUAGACUGCACGCCUUUUUCCAACCACCAUUGUGCACUGCUGGAGAGAGUGUCAGAAAGCAGCUAUGUCAGAAAGACCCCUUUGGUCUCAGCCGUGCCCUCCAUUGCUCUAGACGUGGAAUGCACAAUGCACUGGCUCCCCCCCUCAAGGGGCGACAAGCCACAGACCACCUUGCUUCCAUCUCUUUAGGAAGCUGAGAAGGAACUCACUUUCAACAGUGAUCUUACAGAGUCCAGGGAACAUCUCAUACAAAGGCAGCUGAAACGCCAUUUCUUUUCAGCCCUUAACUUGCCGAUUUGGAACUUCUGUUUCUGCCACAUUUCCACCUUGCCAUCCGGGCUCCGACGAAAUGCCUACAUCUUACCCUUCAGCAACGGGGACGAGGCCCAUAUGACUGUGCUUCCACAUGCUUAAGAGGAGAGAGACAGGCUUUUUACAAUCACGGUUGUGCACUGGUGGAGAGAGUGUCAGAAAGCACCUAUGUCAGAAAGGUCCAUUUGAUCUCAGCCAUGCCCUGAAUUGCUCUAGAGGAGGAAGGCACAAUGCACUGCCUCUGGCUCCACCCCUCAAUGGCAGACGAACCACACACCUUCUUGCGUCCAGCUCUUUAGGACGCUGAGAAAGAGCUCGCAUUCCAUAGUGCUCUUAGAGCGUCCAGGGAACAUCUCAUACAAAGGCAGCUGAACGCCGUUUCUUGCAGCACUUCACUCGCCGAUCUGGAACAUCUGCAUGUGCCACAUUUCCACCUUGUCAACCCGGCUCAGACGAAAUGCCUACAACUUCCCCUUAAGCAAUGGGGACGAGGCCCGAAUGAUUGUUUUUGCACCUGCUUAGUAGGAGAGAGACAAUAGGCUUUUAACCAACCGCCCUUGAGCAAUGGUUGGGGGAGUGCCAGAAAGCACCAAUGUCAGAAAGGCCCUUUACUCUCGGCCGUGCCCUCCAUUCCUCUAGAGGCAGGAGGCACAAGGCACUGGCACCACCCCUGAAGGGGAUCAGAAAGCACCUAUGGCAGAAAGCCCCCUUUGCUCUCAGCCGUGCCCUCCACUGCUCUGCAG